ACGGAAGGCAGCAGUGGGGAAUAUUGCACAAUGGGGGAAACCCUGAUGCAGCGACGCCGCGUGAGCGAUGAAGUAUUUCGGUAUGUAAAGCUCUAUCAGCAGGGAAGAUAAUGACGGUACCUGACUAAGAAGCUCCGGCUAAAUACGUGCCAGCAGCCGCGGUAAUACGUAUGGAGCAAGCGUUAUCCGGAUUUACUGGGUGUAAAGGGAGCGCAGGCGGUAUUGUAAGUCUGAUGUGAAAAUCCGGGGCUCAACCCCGGAACUGCAUUGGAAACUGCAGUACUAGAGUGUCGGAGGGGUAAGCGGAAUUCCUGGUGUAGCGGUGAAAUGCGUAGAUAUCAGGAGGAACACCGGUGGCGAAGGCGGCUUACUGGACGAUAACUGACGCUGAGGCUCGAAAGCGUGGGGAGCAAACAGGAUUAGAUACCCUGGUA
rnacentral:rRNA from 1 species